CUUUUACGUCGGCCUUCGCGAGCGUCUGGGCGGGUGGUAGGAACAAUGGCGCUGUCUUCAGUGGCACAGUGGAGCAGCUCUGAAGAUGCAAAGAUACACGAAAAAACUUCCAGAACAUCUGGGAGAAUAUUUAAUGGAAAAUCGCUUGGUUAAAACCUGACACUUUUAACAGUGAGGGUCGCUGUCUGCCCAUUGAUAGAGGCCAGAUUGUCUUGGAAGUUCCAAAGUUGCAACGAUUUCUUUAGUUGAAUCCAUGGACAUGAAACCCACAGAUAUAGAGGGUUGGCCCGGUGCAGUGGCUCACGCCUGUAAUCCCAGCACUUUGGGAGGCCAAGGCGGGUGGAUCACCUGAGGUCAGAAGCUUGAGACCAGCCUGGCCAACAUGGGUACUGCUUUCUCUUGCUGCAGCUUGCUUCCUCCCUCAGGUAACAUGAAGGAGGAUAUUGAAUGUUCCUAACACAAAGAAAUGAUAAAUGUUUGAGAUGGUGGAUGUACUAAUUGCCCUGAUCUGAUGACUAUACAUUAUAUAUAUUGAAACAUCAGUAUGUACCCCAUGAAUAUGUACAAU
rnacentral:lncRNA from 1 species